GAUGAACGCUGGCGGCGUGCCUAAUACAUGCAAGUCGAGCGAACGGACGAGAAGCUUGCUUCUCUGAUGUUAGCGGCGGACGGGUGAGUAACACGUGGAUAACCUACCUAUAAGACUGGGAUAACUUCGGGAAACCGUAGCUAAUACCGGAUAAUAUUUUGAACCGCAUGGUUCAAAAGUGAAAGACGGUCUUGCUGUCACUUAUAGAUGGAUCCGCGCUGCAUUAGCUAGUUGGUAAGGUAACGGCUUACCAAGGCAACGAUGCAUAGCCGACCUGAGAGGGUGAUCGCCCACACUGGAACUGAGACACGGCCCAGACUCCGACGGGAGGCAGCAGUAGGGAAUCUUCCGCAAUGGGCGAAAGCCUGACGGAGCAACGCCGCGUGAGUGAUGAAGGUCUUCGGAUCGUAAAACUCUGUUAUUAGGGAAGAACAUAUGUGUAAGUAACUGUGCACAUCUUGACGGUACCUAAUCAGAAAGCCACGGCUAACUACGUG
rnacentral:rRNA from 1 species